rnacentral:rRNA from 1 species
UACAGAGGUCCCAAGCGUUGUUCGGAUUCACUGGGCGUAAAGGGUGCGUAGGUGGCGAGGUAAGUCGGAUGUGAAAGCUCGGAGCUCAACUCCGAAAUGGCAUUGGAAACUACCUUGCUCGAGGGUUGGAGGGGGACUGGAAUUCUCGGUGUAGCAGUGAAAUGCGUAGAUAAUCGAGAGGAACACCAGUGGCGAAGGCGAGUCCCUGGACAACUCCUGACACUGAGGCACGAAAGCUAGGGGAGCAAACAGG